rnacentral:rRNA from 1 species
UACAGAGGGGGCAAGCGUUAUUCGGAAUUAUUGGGCGUAAAGGGCGCGUAGGCGGCCUUGCAAGUGGCGGGUGAAAUCCCUCGGCUUAACCGAGGAACUGCCUGCCAGACUGCAAGGCUCGAGACCGGGAGAGGUGAGUGGAAUUCCCAGUGUAGCGGUGAAAUGCGUAGAUAUUGGGAGGAACACCAGUGGCGAAGGCGGCUCACUGGACCGGAACUGACGCUGAGGCGCGAAAGCUAGGGGAGCAAACGGG